rnacentral:lncRNA from 1 species
GCGGACUAGGGGAGGGGGCUCGCGCGCCAAGGCUGCACCGCGAGGGCAAUCCCAUCCGAGCCCCAAGGCCGGGAGGCUCAGGGAGCAAGGGCAGGCCUCCCGCCCGCGAACCGCCAUCCCCCACCCCAGCCCGGGGUCCGCGCGGGCCGAGGGAGCCCGCGGGAGGGCGCGGUGGCGCUUACCUUCCCUGGGCCUCCCGGAUGGCGGCGUGUGAUUCAGCAGGGACCUGGCCGCUGCCGCCGAGCCUGGGGUUGGAGACGUGGAGAGCCGGGACCAAGAUGGCGGCCCCUCCAAACUUCCACUGCUACUUUGGACACUCAUCAAGCUACUUUCUGGGAGCCCGACUCCCCCCCUGCGACGGCGGCGGCACCGGCACCCGCCUCCGUCAUGGCGGGGGCCGCGCUGAGGGCGAGCGCGGGCGCGAGGGCUGGGAGGGGAGCGCCGCGCCGCCGAGGGAGCGCGCCGGGCGGAGGGC